rnacentral:tRNA from 1 species
CGUUGUUUAUCUACGGUUAGAUAUGCUGAUUGCAAAUCAGUCACCUUAGGGUUCAACUCCCUCAACGAUCU